CACGCUUGUCUCGUCUUUGCCUUUGUCUCCUGAGGGAUGGACACUGUUACGAAAGACGGAUGUGUUUGAUGCUGAAGUCACACAGUGUCCUGCCAGCAUCAGUUAAACGAUGAAUCUUGUACGAGAGGGAUUCACGUCUGGGACAGAGAGGAGAAGAGCUCCUGGGAUUUGCAGAAGAAAGAGGCCUGGGGACAAGUAGAUGUCAUCACUGGGGCCCCAGGAAGACCUUAUGGGGCCUGUAGACUCUUCCUUUGGAGCCUUGGUCUUAGCAGUGUUGUUUUCUGGCCCUUGGCGGAUGGCUACUAUACCGGGGAGUUACUUGCCUCUGUAAGUAACUCUGAAGGCCACUUCGCCUUAGGAUGGCGGGUAAUUAAGUCUAGAGGAGUGAGAGAGCAGAUACGUUCUCAGUUCAUGGGUGAAUGAGAGCCAAGGUUAUUGUAGAAGAGGCUGGAUGAGCUCAGAGAGUCACAGCUGAAAGAGAUUUCCCUCCAACAGAGGGAGAGGCACAUUCACUACCUGAAGUCUGACACUGAGAAACCAAACAGCCCUCAGAAGACCUAUGAAGUACAAAAGGACCAGGAUGUGAGCAGAAAGGAAGCGAGUGGAAGAGUAGGAGGCAGGGCUGUUACUAAAGGAACACGUGCCCGGGCAUUAACUGGAGGUUGCCCACAUGUGUCAUCACCACAUUAAACAGAGUCAACGUGUUUCUCAAGCACAAAUCUCCCACAAGUGCUUAAAAUAUCAUCAUUGCUAAACAGAGUAUGGCCUCCUGGUCAUGUGACCUUGAGCCAGCCACACUAUCAUUUUCUAAGAUCUAGCUGUGGAUCUACUGAGGCUUUGUAUUAUUAAGUUUGUGCUUCACCCUACCCCCAUUCUCCAUAGCUUAAGAAUUAGUAGAAUUCCAAAAGGCCAAGGCUGGGAAAAAAGGAGGUUUGAAAUUUUCUAGUGAGGCUGCUCUCUUUACCUCCCACCCGAGGAAACUGAGACCCAGGACUGGAAUCACACAGCUCAGGGCUUACAGAGCCAGGUGGGCACUGCAUCUCUGAUUUCCUUGUCCAGAAAUGCUCCGCCAUGAUAAAAACAACAGCUUCUGUGCUUUGGCACCUCCUCGGAUGCAGACAUCAGACUUGGUGUUUAUCCAAAGGAGCAUCUCAUUUAUUCUGCAAAACAAUGUUCCAUUCAAAGAUGAAGAACUGAAGCUCUCAGAGGUAACCAGCUACCAGGGCCACAGAGCUCAGGGGCAAGCAAGCAGAACCCUGGUGGUAUCUGUUUUGCUGACCGCUAUUUCCAAGGGCCCUCCUCCUUCUACUCCACAGCUGCGAGGAAAGCUUCCUAAAGGAGAGGCAAAUAUUCAAGUGGGUGUUUAUUGGUAUUAAGUGUUCUGUUUCUUGAUCUGGAUGGUACAUACAGGGGGAUUUAUUUUGUUAUUGCUCUUUAAAUGGUACAAAUACAUUUUCACACACACAUACAUACGCAUACAUGUGUUGUAUAUAUCAUACACUGCACACUCAUAAC